CAGCAUAAGCAGAUUGUACAAAAGGUUUACUGAAUUGUACAACAAACUUAGUUUUUCCUAUUUUUUUCUGCUAACACGUGUAUUGUCCUCUAGCAAACCACGUACCACUUCAUAUUGCAAACAGACUAUCUUACAGAUUUCUAUCUUCCUUCUCUUUUCAACAUUGGCUUUGUUCUUCACUCUUCUCAUAGUUUCUCUAUCAUUUGUUUUGAUUUUCUACUAUGUAUUCAUUUGUACGUGAAUGAUCCAAAAGCUGCAGAUUUGAAUAAGUUUGUCCUAGGAAAGAGGCAAAAGUUAUACUGAAAGAAGUUGAAGGCAAAAGCUUCUAAUUUUUGUAUAAAGCAGACUGCUCGGAGGGAAUGGCUAUAUUGAUUCUUUUCAUCAUGACCACGAGGAUCACGUAGAACAACCUGUUUUGAUCUCAACUCUUCAAUGGUGAAUCUAUGUGUUGCUAAGUUUCUUCUCUUUGUGUAGAAACUAAAUCUCUCUGCCUCAAGAUUUUUGUUUGUUUAGGAUGCCUUAUCGAUGUUUUCUCAAGAUUUAAGGACCGUAACAUGGGAAUUUUCCUUCAUUGCUUAGCUUUGAUCAUCAAGGGUGGUCACUUAUACAUCUCUAAAUCUCUACCUGAGAAUUUAACAAAGAUAUCUUACCUGCCAAGAUUUUGAUACAAUGAGAGCUUUCAUGAAGAAAGUGUGAUCAAUCUUGAGGCCUGCUUUGUGACCGAAUUGUUCAGGAACAUCAAGACGAUAGCUGAGUGUCUUGCUGAUGAACUCAUCAAUGCUGCCAAGGGUUCUUCAAAUAGCUAUGCUAUUAAGAAGAAGAACGAGAUUGAAAGGGUUGCCAAGGCUAAUCAUUAAGAGAUUGAUGUUGGAGCAACUUUCUCGAGAGACUUUUUGGUUAUGUUAUUUUUUCAUUUAUGUUUUCAUGUAGGCAUUAUAGCAUCUGCUACUCCUUAUGGAUUUAGUUUCUUGGAGGAUUUAUGUUUGGUAUUGUUAUAAAUGUUAAACUUUGAAGUUCUUUU